AUUGAACGCUGGCGGAAUGCUUUACACAUGCAAGUCGAGCGGCAGCGCGGCCUUCGGGCUGGCGGCGAGCGGCGAACGGGUGAGUAAUGCAUCGGAACAUGCCCAGUCGUGGGGGAUAACACUUCGAAAGAAGUGCUAAUACCGCAUACGUCCUGAGGGGGAAAGCGGGGGAUCGCAAGACCUCGCGCGAUUGGAGUGGCCGAUGUCAGAUUAGCUAGUUGGUGGGGUAAAGGCCUAUCAAGGCGACGAUCUGUAGCUGGUCUGAGAGGAUGAUCAGCCACACUGGGACUGAGACACGGCCCAGACUCCUACGGGAGGCAGCAGUGGGGAAUUUUGGACAAUGGGGGCAACCCUGAUCCAGCCAUUCCGCGUGAGUGAAGAAGGCCUUCGGGUUGUAAAGCUCUUUCGGCAGGAACGAAACGGUGGGCUCUAACAUAGUCCGCUAAUGACGGUACCUGAAGAAGAAGCACCGGCUAACUACGUG
rnacentral:rRNA from 1 species